GGCCGUUUUUUUCGCAUAUUUUUUAUGUCUUCAUGUCUGUGCCUUUUCAGAGACAUAUAAUAUUAUGUAUUAUAUGUCUCUGGCCUUUUAAAGCCGACUAUGUGGUUUGGGUUUUGCUCAUGGUUGAAGGCCCUAGAGUUGCCUGUAAUUGCUUACACCUGUCCCACUUCAUUUGAAAGUAUGUCGAUAAGAUGUCUUACUGGCAAUCAUG
rnacentral:lncRNA from 1 species